AACCAGAACAUAAAUGAGAGUAAAAAUAUAGUGGUAGAAGGACCGAGCCUGACCCCAUGGAAAGAACUGUCCUUGACCCUGCUUCAAACCGCAUGAAAUUUAAUUGUGAUGAUACUACAGAGCGUAAUUUUACUUGGACACAAUUAACAAAUCAUAGUAGUAAACGCCAUAUUGAUAACUGGCUCAUAACUCACAAAUCAUUCAUACGGG
rnacentral:lncRNA from 1 species